rnacentral:rRNA from 1 species
CCUACGGGUGGCAGCAGUGAGGAAUAUUGGUCAAUGGGCUUACGCCUGAACCAGCCAAGUCGCGUGCGGGAAGACUGCCCUAUGGGUUGUAAACCUCUUUUGUCCGGGAGCAACGCCGGCUACGUGUAGUCGGUCUGAGAGUCCCUGAAGAUAAAGAAUCGGCUAACUCCGUGCCAGCAGCCGCGGUAUUACGUAGGAUGCGAGCUUUAUCCGGAUUUAUUGGGUUAAAAGGAUGCGUGGGCGGAAUGCCACGUCAGCGGUAAAAUCCGUGGGCUCAACCUCGCUCCGCCGUUGAAACUGGCUUGCUUGAGUGGGCGAGAAGUAUGCGGAAUGCGUGGUGUAGCGGUGAAAUGCAUAGAUAUAACGAAGAACUCCGAUUGCGAAGGCAGCAUACCGGCGCCCAACUGACGCUGAAGCACGAAAGCGUGGGUAUCGAACAGGAUUAGAUACCCUAGUAGUC